GAUGAACGCUGGCGGCGUGCCUAAUACAUGCAAGUCGAGCGAACGGACGAGAAGCUUGCUUCUCUGAUGUUAGUGGCGGACGGGUGAGUAACACGUGGAUAACCUACCUAUAAGACUGGGAUAACUUCGGGAAACCGGAGCUAAUACCGGAUAAUAUUUUGAACCGCAUGGUUCAAAAGUGAAAGACGGUCUUGCUGUCACUUAUAGAUGGAUCCGCGCUGCAUUAGCUAGUUGGUAAGGUAACGGCUUACCAAGGCGACGAUGCAUAGCCGACCUGAGAGGGUGAUCGGCCACACUGGAACUGAGACACGGUCCAGACUCCUACGGGAGGCAGCAGUAGGGAAUCUUCCGCAAUGGGCGAAAGCCUGACGGAGCAACGCCGCGUGAGUGAUGAAGGUCUUCGGAUCGUAAAACUCUGUUAUUAGGGAAGAACAUAUGUGUAAGUAACUGUGCACAUCUUGACGGUACCUAAUCAGAAAGCCACGGCUAACUACGUG
rnacentral:rRNA from 1 species